UAGGGAAUCUUCGGCAAUGGGGGGAACCCUGACCGAGCAACGCCGCGUGAGUGAAGAAGGUUUUCGGAUCGUAAAGCUCUGUUGUUAAGGAAGAACGAGUGUGAGAAUGGAAAGUUCAUGCUGUGACGGUACUUAACCAGAAAGGGACGGCUAACUACGUGCCAGCAGCCGCGGUAAUACGUAGGUCCCGAGCGUUGUCCGGAUUUAUUGGGCGUAAAGCGAGCGCAGGCGGUUAGAAAAGUCUGAAGUGAAAGGCAGUGGCUCAACCAUUGUAGGCUUUGGAAACUGUUUAACUGGAGUGCAGAAGGGGAGAGUGGAAUUCCAUGUGUAGCGGUGAAAUGCGUAGAUAUAUGGAGGAACACCGGUGGCGAAAGCGGCUCGCUGGUCUGUAACUGACGCUGAGGCUCGAAAGCGUGGGGAGCGAACAGG
rnacentral:rRNA from 1 species